CGGGUGAGUAACACGUGGGUGACCUGCCCUUAGCUCUGGGAUAAGCCUGGGAAACUGGGUCUAAUACCGGAUAUGACCUCCAUGACGCAUGUUGUGGGGUGGAAAGCCUUGUGCGGCUAGGGAUGGGCCCGCGGCCUAUCAGCUUGUUGGUGGGGUGAUGGCCUACCAAGGCGACGACGGGUAGCCGGCCUGAGAGGGCGACCGGCCACACUGGGACUGAGACACGGCCCAG
rnacentral:rRNA from 1 species